rnacentral:rRNA from 1 species
AAAGCUCAGUAACACGUGGAUAACCUGCCCUAUCGUCUGGAAUAACCUCGGGAAACUGAGAAUAAGGCCGGAUAGUUCACAAUGCCUGGAACGGUUUGUGGAUAAAGGUAGGAUGGGUCUGCGGCGUAUCAGGUUGUAGGGGGUGUAACGGACCCCCUAGCCAUCGACGCGUACGGGUGUUGGGAGACAUAGCCCGGAGAUGGAUUCUGAGACACGAAUCCAGACCCUACGGGGUGCAGCAGGCGCGAAAACUUCACACUGCAGGAAACUGUGAUGAGGGAACUCCAAGUGUGUGCAUUUUAUGUACACUUUUCUGAACUCUUAAUCGGUUCAGGAAUAAGGGCUGGGAAAGACCGGUGCCAGCCGCCGCGGUAAUACCGGCAGCUCAAGUGGUCGUCGCUUUUAUUGGGCCUAAAACGUCCGUAGCCUGUUUGGUAAAUCUGUGGGUAAAUCAACCAGCUUAACUGGUUGAAUUCUGCAGAGACUGCCAGACUAGGGACCGGGAGAGGUGUGGGGUACUCGAGGGGUAGGGGUAAAAUCCUGUCAUCCUUCGAGGACCACCAGUUGCGAAGGCGCCACACUGGAACGGAUCCGACGGUCAGGGACGAAGCCUAGGGGCACGAACCGGAUUAGAUACCCGGGUAGUCCUAGGUGUAAACGCUGUGAACUUGGUGUCGGGGGUCCGCAAGGGGUCCCCGGUGCCGGAGUGAAGAUGUUAAGUUCACUGCCUGGGGAGUACGGUCGCAAGGCUGAAACUUAAAGGAAUUGGCGGGGGAGCAC